rnacentral:rRNA from 1 species
AGAGCGAACGCUGGCGGCAGGCCUAACACAUGCAAGUCGAACGGACCCUUCGGGGUUAGUGGCGGACGGGUGAGUAACACGUGGGAACGUGCCUUUAGGUUCGGAAUAGCUCCUGGAAACGGGUGGUAAUGCCGAAUGUGCCCUUCGGGGGAAAGAUUUAUCGCCUUUAGAGCGGCCCGCGUCUGAUUAGCUUGUUGGUGAGGUAAUGGCUCACCAAGGCUACGAUCAGUAGCUGGUCUGAGAGGAUGACCAGCCACAUUGGGACUGAGACACGGCCCAAACUCCUACGGGAGGCAGCAGUGGGGAAUCUUGCGCAAUGGGCGAAAGCCUGACGCAGCCAUGCCGCGUGUAUGAUGAAGGUCUUAGGAUUAGUAAAAUACUUUACACCGGUGAAGAUAAAUGACUGUAGCGGAGAAGAAGCCCCGGCUAACUUCGUGCCAGCAGCCGC